AGUGAACGCUGGCGGUAGGCCUAACACAUGCAAGUCGAACGGCAGCACAGUAAGAGCUUGCUCUUACGGGUGGCGAGUGGCGGACGGGUGAGGAAUACAUCGGAAUCUACUUUUUCGUGGGGGAUAACGUAGGGAAACUUACGCUAAUACCGCAUACGACCUACGGGUGAAAGCAGGGGAUCUUCGGACCUUGCGCGAUUGAAUGAGCCGAUGUCGGAUUAGCUAGUUGGCGGGGUAAAGGCCCACCAAGGCGACGAUCCGUAGCUGGUCUGAGAGGAUGAUCAGCCACACUGGAACUGAGACACGGUCCAGACUACUACGGGAGGCAGCAGUGGGGAAUAGUGGACAAUGGGCGCAAGCCUGAUCCAGCCAUACCGCGUGGGUGAAGAAGGCCUUCGGGUUGUAAAGCCCUUUUGUUGGGAAAGAAAAGCAGCAGGUUAAUACCCCGCUGUUCUGACGGUACCCAAAGAAUAAGCACCGGCUAACUUCGUG
rnacentral:rRNA from 1 species